UGGGGAAUAUUGGACAAUGGGCGAAAGCCUGAUCCAGCCAUGCCGCGUGUGUGAAGAAGGUCUUCGGAUUGUAAAGCACUUUAAGUUGGGAGGAAGGGCAGUUACCUAAUACGUGAUUGUUUUGACGUUACCGACAGAAUAAGCACCGGCUAACUCUGUGCCAGCAGCCGCGGUAAUACAGAGGGUGCAAGCGUUAAUCGGAAUUACUGGGCGUAAAGCGCGCGUAGGUGGUUAGUUAAGUUGGAUGUGAAAUCCCCGGGCUCAACCUGGGAACUGCAUUCAAAACUGACUGACUAGAGUAUGGUAGAGGGUGGUGGAAUUUCCUGUGUAGCGGUGAAAUGCGUAGAUAUAGGAAGGAACACCAGUGGCGAAGGCGACCACCUGGACUGAUACUGACACUG
rnacentral:rRNA from 1 species